AAACCUUUUAACUAAGUCCAGAGAGGCUUACAAGGGUGUUAGACCUGAACCAGUCUGUUAAGAAUGGUUUAGGUUUGGAUCAAUGCACCCUGAUAGCAAGAUAUUAGGGUGCAUUUUUUA
rfam:Bacillus vireti LMG 21834 contig113, whole genome shotgun sequence.